rnacentral:rRNA from 1 species
AUUGAACGCUAGCGGGAUGCCUUACACAUGCAAGUCGAACGGCAGCGCGGACUUCGGUCUGGCGGCGAGUGGCGAACGGGUGAGUAAUGUAUCGGAACGUGCCCAGUAGCGGGGGAUAACUACUCGAAAGAGUAGCUAAUACCGCAUACGCCCUACGGGGGAAAGGGGGGGGAUCGCAAGACCUCCCACUAUUGGAGCGGCCGAUAUCGGAUUAGCUAGUUGGUGAGGUAUAGGCUCAACAAGGCGACGAUCCGUAGCUGGUUUGAUAGGACGACCAGCCACACUGGGACUGAGACACGGCCCAGACUCCUACGGGAGGCAGCAGUGGGGAAUUGUGGACAAUGGGGGGAACCCUGAUCCAGCCAUUCCGCGUGUGCGAUGAAGGCCUUCGGGUUGUAAAGCACUUUUGGCAGGAAAGAAAUCGCACGGAUUAAUACUCUGUGUGGAUGACGGUACCUGCAGAAUAAGCACCGGCUAACUACGUGCCAGCCGCCGCCGUAA